rnacentral:tRNA from 1 species
AGUGGCGUGGUGCAAUCGGCAGACACACGCAGCUUAAACCUGCGUCAUUGAGGGUUCGAACCCCUCCGCCACUA